rnacentral:rRNA from 1 species
AAAGUGAAAGACGGUCUUGCUGUCACUUAUAGAUGGAUCCGCGCUGCAUUAGCUAGUUGGUAAGGUAACGGCUUACCAAGGCAACGAUGCAUAGCCGACCUGAGAGGGUGAUCGGCCACACUGGAACUGAGACACGGUCCAGACUCCUACGGGAGGCAGCAGUAGGGAAUCUUCCGCAAUGGGCGAAAGCCUGACGGAGCAACGCCGCGUGAGUGAUGAAGGUCUUCGGAUCGUAAAACUCUGUUAUUAGGGAAGAACAUAUGUGUAAGUAACUGUGCACAUCUUGACGGUACCUAAUCAGAAAGCCACGGCUAACUACGUGCCAGCAGCCGCGGUAAUACGUAGGUGGCAAGCGUUAUCCGGAAUUAUUGGGCGUAAAGCGCGCGUAGGCGGU